AUUGAACGCUGGCGGAAUGCUUUACACAUGCAAGUCGAGCGGCAGCGCGGGGGCAACCCUGGCGGCGAGCGGCGAACGGGUGAGUAAUGCAUCGGAACGUACCCUGUCGUGGGGGAUAACUAACCGAAAGGUUAGCUAAUACCGCAUACGACCUGAGGGUGAAAGCGGGGGAUCGCAAGACCUCGCGCGAUAGGAGCGGCCGAUGUCAGAUUAGCUAGUUGGUGAGGUAAAGGCUCACCAAGGCGACGAUCUGUAGCGGGUCUGAGAGGACGGCCCGCCACACUGGAACUGAGACACGGUCCAGACUCCUACGGGAGGCAGCAGUGGGGAAUUUUGGACAAUGGGGGCAACCCUGAUCCAGCCAUUCCGCGUGAGUGAAGAAGGCCUUCGGGUUGUAAAGCUCUUUCGGCAGGAACGAAACGGUCGUCUCUAACAUAGAUGGCUAAUGACGGUACCUGAAGAAGAAGCACCGGCUAACUACGUGCCAGCAGCCGCGGUAAUACGUAGGGUGCGAGCGUUAAUCGGAAUUACUGGGCGUAAAGCGUGCGCAGGCGGUUUUGUAAGACAGAUGUGAAAUCCCCGGGCUUAACCUGGGAACUGCGUUUGUGACUGCAAGACUUGAGUGCGGCAGAGGGGGGUGGAAUUCCACGUGUAGCAGUGAAAUGCGUAGAGAUGUGGAGGAACACCGAUGGCGAAGGCAGCCCCCUGGGUCGACACUGACGCUCAUGCACGAAAGCGUGGGUAGCAAACAGGAUUAGAUACCCUGGUAGUCCACGCCCUAAACGAUGCGAACUAGGUGUUGGGGAAGGAGACUUUCUUAGUACCGCAGCUAACGCGUGAAGUUCGCCGCCUGGGGAGUACGGUCGCAAGAUUAA
rnacentral:rRNA from 1 species